rnacentral:rRNA from 1 species
GGCUCCUUGGUGAAUCAUAAUAACUUAACGAAUCGCAUGGCCUUGCGCCGGCGAUGGUUCAUUCAAAUUUCUGCCCUAUCAACUUUCGAUGGUAGGAUAGUGGCCUACCAUGGUGGCAACGGGUAACGGGGAAUUAGGGUUCGAUUCCGGAGAGGGAGCCUGAGAAACGGCUACCACAUCCAAGGAAGGCAGCAGGCGCGCAAAUUACCCAAUCCCGAUACGGGGAGGUAGUGACAAUAAAUACUGAUACGGGGCUCUUUUGGGUCUCGUAAUUGGAAUGAGAACAAUUUAAAUCCCUUAACGAGGAACAAUUGGAGGGCAAGUCUGGUGCCAGCAGCCGCGGUAAUUCCAGCUCCAAUAGCGUAUAUUAAAGUUGUUGCAGUUAAAAAGCUCGUAGUUGAACCUUGGGUCUGGCUGGCCGGUCCGCCUCACCGCGAGUACUGGUCCGGCUGGACCUUUCCUUCUGGGGAACCUCAUGGCCUUCACUGGCUGUGGGGGGAACCAGGACUUUUACUGUGAAAAAAUUAGAGUGUUCAAAGCAGGCCUUUGCUCGAAUACAUUAGCAUGGAAUAAUAGAAUAGGACGUGCGGUUCUAUUUUGUUGGUUUCUAGGACCGCCGUAAUGAUUAAUAGGGAUAGUCGGGGGCGUCAGUAUUCAGCUGUCAGAGGUGAAAUUCUUGGAUUUGCUGAAGACUAACUACUGCGAAAGCAUUCGCCAAGGAUGUUUUCAUUAAUCAGGGAACGAAAGUUAGGGGAUCGAAGACGAUCAGAUACCGUCGUAGUCUUAACCAUAAACUAUGCCGACUAGGGAUCGGACGGGAUUCUAUAAUGACCCGUUCGGCACCUUACGAGAAAUCAAAGUUUUUGGGUUCUGGGGGGAGUAUGGUCGCAAG